rnacentral:lncRNA from 1 species
CUUUAUAAAGCCUAAAUUGUAAUAAUCUGCAGGAUUUACUGUGCAGGGUAGGCUUUCAAUAAUGGGAAGUCAUUUUUAAGAACCUCUUGUAUACUUAACACUGUGUUCGCCUUUGGAUAGAAUACAGAAAACUCACAAGUAAGAAGCCCUUUGAUAGCGAAGACAAUAUCUAAUGCUGUGUAUAUAAAGCUUCAAAAAUAUUGGUUAAAUCAAUUGCCAGAGACAGAAAUGGGAAAGUUCCAGUUGUCCAGCAUGUAAUUUAGCCUUCCAAUUUUUAAUCUUUUGUACCUUUGUACUAAUGGCAAAUAAGAAUUAAUGGAUAAAGAAGACAAAAUGGAAAAUCAUAAGUGACCAUUGCUGUGUCUUCAGCAAGUAUAAGGGUAAAUUAAUGAAGCAAGUAACUAAAAAUUGCAUGUUCUAUUAACUAAUUAGAUGACCACAAAGAGAA